rnacentral:rRNA from 1 species
CCUACGGGAGGCUGCAGUGAGGAAUAUUGGUCAAUGGGCGCGAGCCUGAACCAGCCAAGUAGCGUGAAGGAUGACUGCCCUACGGGUUGUAAACUUCUUUUAUAAAGGAAUAAAGUUAGGCACGGGUGCCUUUUUGGAUGUACUUUAUGAAUAAGGAUAGGCUAACUCCGUGCCAGCAGACGAGGUAAGACGGUGGAUCCGAGCGUUAUCCGGAUUUAUUGGGUUUAAAGGGAGUGUAGAUGGGUUGUUAAGUCAGUUGGGAAAGUUUCCGGCUGAACCGUAAAAUUGCAAUUGAUGCUGGCAGUCUUGAGUUCAGUUGAGGUAGGCGGAAUUCGUGGUGUAGCGGUGAAAUGCGUAGA